rnacentral:rRNA from 1 species
UACGUAGGGUGCGAGCGUUAAUCGGAAUUACUGGGCGUAAAGCGUGCGCAGGCGGUUCGUUAAGUUCGUUGUGAAAGCCCCCGGCUCAACUGGGGAGGGUCACGCGAUACUGAUCGACUCGAAGGCAGGAGAGGGUAGUGGAAUUCCCGGUGUAGUGGUGAAAUGCGUAGAUAUCGGGAGGAACACCAGUGGCGAAGGCAGCUUACUAGACUGUAACUGACGCUGAGGCACGAAAGUGUGGGGAUCAAACAGG